UACGUAGGGUGCAAGCGUUGUCCGGAAUUAUUGGGCGUAAAGAGCUCGUAGGCGGUUUGUUGCGUCGGCUGUGAAAUCCCGAGGCUCAACCUCGGGUCUGCAGUGGAUACUGGCAAGCUAGAGUGCGGUAGAGGAUGGUGGAAUUCCCGGUGUAGCGGUGAAAUGCGUAGAGAUCGGGAGGAACACCCGUGGCGAAGGCGGCCAUCUGGACCAGCACUGACGCUGAGGCACGAAAGCGUGGGGAGCAAACAGG
rnacentral:rRNA from 1 species